AACGAACGCUGGCGGCAGGCUUAACACAUGCAAGUCGAACGCCCCGCCAGGGUACUGGUGCACGGGUGAGUAACGCGUGGUAAUCUGCUUUUUUUUUCGGAAUAACCCCGGGUGACUGGGGCUACUACCGGAUGGUUCCUACGGGAUCAAGAUUUAUCACCAAAAGAUGAGUGCGCGUGCGAUUAGCUAGUUGGUGGGGUAAUUGCUCACCAACGCGACGAUCGAUAGCUGGUUUGAGAGGACGAGCAGACACACUGGGACUGAGUCACGGCCGAGACUCCUACGGGAGGCAGGAGUGGGGAAUAAUGGAAAAGGGGGGCAACUGAGAGCGAGACAUGGCGCGUGAGUGAUGAAGGCAUGCGGGUUGUAAAGCUCUUUUGGCGGGGGCGAUGAUGACGGUACCCGCAGAAUAAGCACCGGCUAACUUCGUG
rnacentral:rRNA from 1 species